CCUACGGGUGGCAGCAGUGGGGAAUAUUGCUCAAUGGGCGGGACACUGAUGCAGCGACGCCGCGUGAGUGAAGAAGUUAUUCGUUAUGUUAAGCUCUAUCAGUCGGGUAGAAAAUGACGGUACCCGAGUCCGAAGCACCGGAUCACUACGUGACAGCAGGCGCGGUACUACGUCGGGUGCAAGCGUUAUCCGGAUUUACUGGGUGUAAAGGGUGCGUAGACGGCAGUGCAAGUCUGGAGUGAAAGGCGGGGGCUCACCCCCCGGACUGCUCUGGAAACUGUACGGCUGGAGUGCAGGAGAGGUAUGUGGAAUGCGUGGUGUAGCGGUGAAAUGCGUAGAUAUUAGGAGGAACACCAGUGGCGAAGGCGGCUUACUGGACUGUAACUGACGUUGAGGCUCGAAAGCGUGGGUAUCGAACAGGAUUAGAUACCCGUGUAGUC
rnacentral:rRNA from 1 species